rnacentral:rRNA from 1 species
UACGUAGGGUGCAAGCGUUGUCCGGAAUUAUUGGGCGUAAAGAGCUCGUAGGCGGUCUGUCGCGUCGGCUGUGAAAACCCGAGGCUCAACCUCGGGCCUGCAGUGGGUACGGGCAGACUAGAGUGCGGUAGGGGAGAUUGGAAUUCCUGGUGUAGCGGUGGAAUGCGCAGAUAUCAGGAGGAACACCGAUGGCGAAGGCAGAUCUCUGGGCCGUAACUGACGCUGAGGAGCGAAAGCAUGGGUAGCGAACAGG